AAUCCCUGCUGUCCUGAUUCUGGCUGUGGUGCUUUAUCUGCUGGGAAAGAAAGUUGCAUCUCUGGCAAGGGAUCAAAGGGAACGAGUCCAGCGUGACAUCAGCAACACUCCUGAAGAUCAUAUUGAAUAUGCCUCCGUGAAUUGGCUGGGAAGCUCCAGGCAUCCGCGGCCCCAGAGAGAAGAGACGCCGACAUAUGCGACCAUCGGUCAGCAGCGGGACAGAUGUCAUUAAUGCUCCACUUGCUGAAAUGCAGGACUCGUCAGUACGCAGUCACAUCGCAGAUCCUCCCAAAACCAGAGACAACCAUAGGGGCUUUGCUGCAAGGAAAUUGGGGACCAUCUCUGAGGCCAAAGCUGGACAAUGCACAGUGCCCAAAGUAGUACAGGAAAAAAUAAAAUUGGGGAAAAUAGCCAAACUUGGUAUUCCUACCCUCUUUG